rnacentral:rRNA from 1 species
GGGGAAUAUUGCACAAUGGGGGAAACCCUGAUGCAGCGACGCCGCGUGAGUGAAGAAGUACUUCGGUAUGUAAAGCUCUAUCAGCAGGGAAGAAGAUGACGGUACCUGACUAAGAAGCCCCGGCUAACUACGUGCCAGCAGCCGCGGUAAUACGUAGGGGGCAAGCGUUAUCCGGAUUUACUGGGUGUAAAGGGAGCGUAGGUGGUGAGGCAAGUCAGAUGUGAAACCCCGGGGCUCAACCCCGGGACUGCACUUGAAACUGUCUUGCUAGAGUGCAGGAGAGGUAAGUGGAAUUCCUAGUGUAGCGGUGAAAUGCGUAGAUAUUAGGAGGAACACCAGUGGCGAAGGCGGCUUACUGGACUGUAACUGACACUGAGGCUCGAAAGCGUGGGGAGCAAAC